rnacentral:rRNA from 1 species
ACCUUCCGUAGGUGACUGCGGAAGGAUCAUUA